AUGGAUUCCAUCUUGGCGAAUCAAACUUGGGAGAUAACUGAUCGUCCUUAUGGGUGCAAACCUAUAGGAUGCAAAUGGAUAUUCAAGAAGAAGCUUAGGCCCGACGGUACUAUUGAAAAGUACAAGUCUCGGCUCGUGGCAAAGGGUUAUACCCAAAAGGAAGGUGAAGACUUCUUUGAUACUUACUCACCUGUGGCUCGACUGACCACUAUUCGAGUUCUAAUUGCUUUCCUAAAUGGAGAGUUGGAUGAGGAAAUUUAUAUGGAACAACCAGAUGGGUUUGUAGUAGAUGGUCAGGAAGGCAAAGUGUGCAAGUUGUUGAAGUCUUUGUAUGGACUCAAGCAAGCACCCAAACAGUGGCAUGAGAAGUUCGAAAGAACUUUAACAGCUGCAGGCUUUGUUGUGAACGAAGCUGACAAAUGUGUGUACUAUCGCCAUGGUGGGGGUGAGGGAGUUAUGCUUUGCUUGUAUGUUGAUGACAUACUGAUUUUCGGAACAAAUCUGAAUGUUAUUAAGGAGGUCAAGGAUUUCCUAUCUCGCUGUUUUGAGAUGAAGGAUUUUGGAGUGGUUGAUGUCAUUCUGAACAUCAAGUUUUGA
rnacentral:rRNA from 1 species